rnacentral:piRNA from 1 species
UGAUUUCAACCCCCACACGGUAGAAGGA